UUUUUCUUUUGGUAGAUGCGGUCUCAGUAUGUUGCCCAGGCUGGGCUUGAACUCCUAGCCGUAAGCCAUCCUCCCACCUUGGCCUCCCAAAGUGCUGAGGUCACAAGGCAUAAGCCACCACGCCCAACCCCAUUUUUCUUUUGUGGGGGCUUCAGUGGCACAAGGGGUAGUCAGUGGUGGACCAAGCUUCCACCCUUUUAUAAUAGGAAGGGUUGCCCAUCUACUGGAAACCUCCACAAUAUUUGUAUGAAAGAAAAACAGCAUUUUUCUCUAGCAGAGAAAUUGGAACUCAGUUGGAAGAUGAAGACUAGUCAGUUCAAGCUAGCAACAAUGGCAAUGGUUUGGUGGGGUGGGAGGAUCCCAUGGUGUGACGCAGGUCUGAGCCCUGGCCGUGCUGGAUGUGGUCAUGAGCUUCGUCUAGUCAUCAGUCUGUCUCCUACAUGCCAGGGAUCCCACCAGGAGGCGUGUGAGUUUGGAUGGGGAGGCAAAUGCAGUGUUCCUGCCCUCAUGGAGUUGACUGGUGGGGGAGGCUGGUGUACAAUCUUGCGGGAGCAUCGCCUGGGAACCCUGAAGGAUGAAUAGGGAGGAGCUGGCCAAGUCGAAAGGAGCGGGUGGUGUCAAGAGACCCCAGCAGAAGGACCAUCGUGCACAAAGAGCCAGAUCUGAUGGGGCCUAGCUCCUGCCAGGGCAGUGGGUGCCUAGUGAGGCUGGAGCCAGAAAGCAGAGCCUCGGAGGGGUGCAGGGUACUUCCCACUUUGUCCAGGAGGAGCCUGAGGCCCAGGGAGCGGGACCUUGCCCUGGGAUAACCCAGCAAGUGAGCACUGGAGCCAGAGCUAGAGCUAAAGGCGCCAGGCCCCAGGCUCAACUGUAUUCUCCACAUGUGCUGAGUCAUGUUCUCAGGGUGCUGUUCCCUAGGUGGUCACAUUUGACUCUCACAAUGACCCUGUAAGGGAGGAAGAAUUCUUCUGCCCAUUUCUCAGAACUAGGAAACUGAGGAUCAUCUGGUUGACUGAGUGAAUGAAUGAGCUCAGUUUUCAUACGUUCACCCAGUUCAUACUAGGCAGAGCCAGGCAGAGGCUUUUGGCCGCAAAGCCAGGGUUUUAUCCAUUGUCUCCACUACCUAAAGCAUGUGCCUGCUCCAGGCAGGGGACCACCGAUGCCCAGGACAAAAUCCUAGUUGUCUUACUUGUUAAAUUAGUUUAAAUUAUUAUUACUGUUAUGAGUAAUAACAGUCUUGUGUUUUAAGUGUUUUGUUUUGUUUUUUAACUUCUUCAAAUCACUUUCACAGACCUAAUCUUUGUUUGCAAACACUGAAUGAGAUUAGGGGAUAUUGGUGUUAUUUUACAAAUAGAGGGACUGAGACCCAGGGAGGCUGAAUGACGCGCCAGCUUGAGGCCAGUCCCAGUGGAGAAAUCAGGUUUCUUGUGCGAGUGUGGGGCUUUCUAAAACAAUGGUCUCUGUUCUUAAGACGAGGGGAGUAUCUGUGUGUCUGCCCCGUGACCGUGACUGGGAGAUUCCCAGCCUGGCCCUGAGUUGUUACAGUGUCAUGCAUAUAGGUCACACUGACCUAAGCUCCAAGGAGACUGAAGGGUUUCAUCUUUGUCUUCUUCCUCCUCACUUCCUCCUCGUGCCCUGGAGUAGCCUGCCGGGGCUUCUCUUCCUUGUUCCCAGGGCCAGAUGUCGGAGGCCAUGGACCAGCCAGCUGGGGGUCCUGGAAACCCAAGGCCAGGAGAGGGUGAUGAUGGCAGCAUGGAGCCGGGCACCUGCCAGGAGCUUCUGCACCGACUGCGGGAGCUGGAGGCAGAGAACUCGGCACUUGCCCAGGCCAACGAAAACCAGCGGGAGACUUAUGAGCGCUGUCUGGACGAGGUUGCCAACCACGUGGUGCAGGCGUUGCUGAACCAGAAGGUGAGUAGCCCAGACACCCUGGGGAGAAGCCCUGGGCACAGCAGAUGAGACCCUUCCUGGAGACUAAGGGCUUGGAGGAGAUGGGCUGUUGCCCUCCGGUGAUUCCCCAUCUUUCCGCCUUGGGCGGGUCCAUACCGUUCUACCUAGAGGCAGAGGUGGGACUAGGUAAGGCCAGGUCUCUGAGCAGUGGUCACUGAUUUCAGCAUGACUCCGUCCCUUACCCUGUCCCCAGCUGGCUUUUCCAGGUUGUGAUAGUCCUUAAAGCAGUGUUGAUGUUGUGAGCCUAAAUGGCAUCUGAAUAUUUACUCACCUAUGGUGGAUAACUUCUUGACAUCAGGGCCACUUUGACUCCAAGGCCUUGCUCUGUCUUAUAUAGGCCCUUUUUUAAUGUGUGGUUUCUAAGAGGCAGAGGGCCAGGCGUGGUGGCUUACGCCUGUAAUCCCAGCACUUUGGGAGGCCGAGGUGGGCAGAUCACGAGGUCAAGAGAUCAAGACCAUCCCAGCCAACAUGGUGAAACCCUGUCUCUACUAAAAAUACAAAAGUUAGCUGGGCGUGGUGGUGCACUCCUGUAGUCCAAGCUACUAGGAAGGCUGAGGCAGGAGAAUCGCUUGAACUCAGGUUGUGGAGGUUGUAGCGAGCCGAGAUUGCACCACUGCACUCCAGCCUGGUGACAAAGCGAGACUCCGUCUC
rnacentral:sRNA from 1 species